CGGGGGAGGCCGGAUCCUGGGCUGUGUCCCCGGCGCCCUGUGCUCCCGGGCCUGCGCUGUUGGAUUUGCGCUCCCAGCUGCGCAGCCCCCU
rfam:Canis lupus familiaris chromosome 22, whole genome shotgun sequence.